rnacentral:rRNA from 1 species
UACGUAGGGGGCAAGCGUUGUCCGGAAUCAUUGGGCGUAAAGAGCGUGUAGGCGGUUCGGUAAGUCCGCUGUGAAAGUCCAGGGCUCAACCCUGGAAUGCCGGUGGAAACUGUCGAGCUAGAGUCCGGAAGAGGCGAGUGGAAUUCCUGGUGUAGCGGUGAAAUGCGCAGAUAUCAGGAGGAACACCAAUGGCGAAGGCAGCUCGCUGGGACGGUACUGACGCUGAGACGCGAAAGCGUGGGGAGCAAACAGG